GACGAACGCUGGCGGCGUGCCUAAUACAUGCAAGUAGAACGCUGAAGAGAGGAGCUUACUCUUCUUGGAUGAGUUGCGAACGGGUGAGUAACGCGUAGGUAACCUGCCUUGUAGCGGGGGAUAACUAUUGGAAACGAUAGCUAAUGCCGCAUAACAAUGGAUGACACAUGUCAUUUAUUUGAAAGGGGCAAUUGCUCCACUACAAGAUGGACCUGCGUUGUAUUAGCUAGUAGGUGAGGUAAUGGCUCACCUAGGCGACGAUACAUAGCCGACCUGAGAGGGUGAUCGGCCACACUGGGACUGAGACACGGCCCAGACUCCUACGGGAGGCAGCAGUAGGGAAUCUUCGGCAAUGGGGGCAACCCUGACCGAGCAACGCCGCGUGAGUGAAGAAGGUUUUCGGAUCGUAAAGCUCUGUUGUAAGUCAAGAACGGGUGUGAGAGUGGAAAGUUCACACUGUGACGGUAGCUUACCAGAAAGGGACGGCUAACUACGU
rnacentral:rRNA from 1 species